rnacentral:rRNA from 1 species
GACUUCCAUGCCACCCCGAACAAGCCCAAUGGAAGCUAAGCAGGGGCAGGCCUUGUUAGUACUUGGAUGGGAGAUCACCUAGGAAGACCAGGUGCUAUAGGCG